rnacentral:tRNA from 1 species
GCCUGGGUGGUACAGUGGUUGAGCAUCUGACUUCAGCUCAGGUCAUGAUCCCGGGGUCCUGGGAUCAAGUCCCACACCAGGCU